UGGCGGACGGGUGAGUAAUGUCUGGGAAACUGCCCGAUGGAGGGGGAUAACUACUGGAAACGGUAGCUAAUACCGCAUAACGUCGCAAGACCAAAGAGGGGGACCUUAGGGCCUCUUGCCAUCGGAUGUGCCCAGAUGGGAUUAGCUAGUAGGUGGGGUAAUGGCUCACCUAGGCGACGAUCCCUAGCUGGUCUGAGAGGAUGACCAGCCACACUGGACUGAGACACGGUCCAG
rnacentral:rRNA from 1 species